GGCCCGGGGAGCCCCGUGAGCGCGAGCGCCGCGGGCCACUUCCUUGGUCCCCUACGAUUCGACCCGGGCAGAGUCGCCCCUUCGGAAGCGGCCCCGCCUUAGCGAGUCGCAGGUGGACCCCGUUAGCCCGCAGCUUAUCUCCUGACUGCAGCUGGAAUGGUGGAAGGGGCUAGGGAAGGAUACCGAAGGACCUGAUAAAAAAAAGUCUUUUCUUUGACUCCAGCUGCAACUGGUCUUAAGGGGAGAGAAUCCAUGUUGGUCAACAGAAUUUGGUUUUGGCAUCGCUUAAGUUUACUGCUUCAACGGCCAGACUCUGGUUGUUAAGUAACAUCCAAGUGGGUAUGCCUUUUUAGGGUUUUUAAUUAAAAGAGAGCAGCAGCAAGAGUGGCAUUUUAACUCUUCUAGUGUUUUUUUUUUUUAGUUGCUACAGUAACUAGUUUUAAGUCUACAAAUAUUUGCAUUCUUCUUCCUAAAGAAAAGGUCACAAAGAUGAAUGGGGGGAGGAGAACAAAGAUAGGAAUUUGUACAAGAUUUCAACUCAAGUGUGCAGGUUUAAUAUUUAUUUUCCAAGAAAAGAAGUACUUUAAAUUGUAAUAGUGUCUGUUGAACCUAGUUGCUAGGUUCUCUGCACUUCACAUGGCACAACAAUCCUUUAAGGUGGACACUAUCUCCAUUUUAGAGAGGGGAUUCUUGAGGCUCAGAGAGUUCACAUAUCUUUCUAGAGGUUGCACAGCUGGUUAGAAAGAAGAUGGGCAUCACAGAUACUUUUGUAAAGCAUUCGCUCUUUCCAGCAUCACAAUUUUCCUCAACUGUAGACAAUGUUAUGUGGUUCAGAACCAACCACAAACCUCCAUGUC